AAAAGGGUUCACAUUUCCAUCCAGACAGUGAUUUAUUUGUCCCAAAUGAAAGGAAAGAUAUAAUCACCUCAACUGCUUGUUGGACAGCAAUGGUUGGCUUGCUUGCAUAUUUGUCGUUUACAAUGGGACCAAUGCCAUUGCUUAAACUCUACGGCAUCCCUUAUGCGGUACAUGCUUCAGUUCCUACAUAUAUUUCUUCAAAACAAUUUCGGUAAAAGUACUACGAAGGCCUUUAGACUAGAAACCGAAUUGCAUUUUACCCCCUCUAUUUAAAAUAAGCAAACUGGUCCUUCUACGUUAGUUUUUAACAAUAAAAAUGAACGAAAUUUUUAACAGAAAGGCCAAGUUUGCUCUUUAGUCUAACAUACAGGGACCAAUUUGCCCAUUUUUUGAGUGAAUGGAGUAAAAUGCAAUCUAACUCUCAGUACAGUGGUCUUAAUGGUACUUUUACCAAAAAAAUUCAUAUUUCUGGUCUGAUAUAAUGGACUCACAUAUAAAAUGGCAGAUAUUUGUGAUGUGGUUGGAUUUGGUGACAUACCUACAUCACCAUGGUCAUGACGAGAAGCUUCCAUGGUAUCGAGGAAAGGUUCGGGAUAAUGUUUAUUCUUCUUCACCAAGAAACCAUCCAUGUUAUGUAUGGUAUAACAAUUGAAACUUCUCUGUGUUUUACUAACCAGGAGUGGAGUUACCUGAGAGGAGGGCUUACGACGCUUGAUCGGGAUUAUGGAUGGAUUAACAACAUCCACCACGAUAUUGGAACUCAUGUUAUACAUCAUCUCUUCCCUCAAAUCCCACAUUAUCACUUGAUUGAAGCUGUGAGUAUCAUCAUCAUCAUCAUCAUCUUAUUUUCCUGCAUCAGUUAUGUUUUAGGUUUUCCACAUACUAAAGAAAAUGGUACAUGAAUUACAGACCGAAGCAGCGAAGCCAGUGCUCGGGAAAUACUACAGGGAGCCAAAGAAAUCCGGGCCUUUACCAUUUUAUUUACUUGGGAUACUCAUAAAAAGCAUGAGAAAGGAUCAUUAUGUGAGUGACAUUGGUGAUGUUGUGUACUAU
rnacentral:lncRNA from 1 species